UGAGACCGCUAUAGUGUGUUCUUGGCUCAGAGUAUCUAAAAGGGGGCGGCGGAAAAUUUUCCACGGGUGAAUAAACGUGAGCAACCUGCCCUGGACUCUGGGAUAAGCGCUGGAAACGGUGUCUAAUACUGGAUAUGAGCUCCUUCCGCAUGGUGGGGGUUGGAAAGAUUUUUCGGUCUGGGAUGGGCUCGCGGCCUAUCAGCUUGUUGGUGAGGUAAUGGCUCACCAAGGCGUCGACGGGUAGCCGGCCUGAGAGGGUGACCGGCCACACUGGGACUGAGACACGGCCCAGACUCCUACGGGAGGCAGCAGUGGGGAAUAUUGCACAAUGGGCGGAAGCCUGAUGCAGCAACGCCGCGUGAGGGAUGACGGCCUUCGGGUUGUAAACCUCUUUUAGCAGGGAAGAAGCUUUUGUGACGGUACCUGCAGAAAAAGCGCCGGCUAACUACGUGCCAGCAGCCGCGGUAAUACGUAGGGCGCAAGCGUUAUCCGGAAUUAUUGGGCGUAAAGAGCUCGUAGGCGGUUUGUCGCGUCUGCUGUGAAAUCCCGAGGCUCAACCUCGGGCCUGCAGUGGGUACGGGCAGACUAGAGUGCGGUAGGGGAGAUUGGAAUUCCUGGUGUAGCGGUGGAAUGCGCAGAUAUCAGGAGGAACACCGAUGGCGAAGGCAGAUCUCUGGGCCGUAACUGACGCUGAGGAGCGAAAGGGUGGGGAGCAAACAGGCUUAGAUACCCUGGUAGUCCACCCCGUAAACGUUGGGAACUAGUUGUGGGGACCAUUCCACGGUUUCCGUGACGCAGCUAACGCAUUAAGUUCCCCGCCUGGAGAGUACGGCCGCAAGGCUAAAACUCAAAGGAAUUGACGGGGACCCGCACAAGCGGGCGGAGCAUGCGGAUUAAUUCGAUGCAACGCGAAGAACCUUACCAAAGGCUUGACAUACACCAGAACACCGUAGAAAAUACGGGACUCUUGGGACACUGAUGAACAGGUGGGUGCAUGGGUUGUCGUCAGCCUCGGUGUCGUGAGAUGGUGGGUUAAGUCCCGCAACCGAGCCGCAACCCUCGUUCCUAUGUUUGCCAGCACGUAUGGUGGACCUCAUGGGAUAACUGCCGGGGAUUACCAACCUCUGCGGA
rnacentral:rRNA from 1 species